rnacentral:rRNA from 1 species
AUUGAACGCUGGCGGCAGGCCUAACACAUGCAAGUCGAACGGCAGCGGGGGGUAGCUUGCUACCCCGCCGGCGAGUGGCGGACGGGUGAGUAAUGCCUGGGGAGCUGCCCAAUCGAGGGGGAUACCAGUUGGAAACGACUGCUAAUACCGCAUACGCCCUGAGGGGGAAAGGUGGGGAUCUUCGGACCUACCGCGAUUGGAUGCACCCAGGUGGGAUUAGCUAGUUGGUGAGGUAACGGCUCACCAAGGCGACGAUCUCUAGCUGGUCGGACGGGAAGACCAGCCACACUGGAACUGAGACACGGUCCAGACGCCUACGGGAGGCAGCAGUGGGGAAUAUUGCACAAUGGGGGAAACCCUGAUGCAGCCAUGCCGCGUGUGUGAAGAAGGCCUUAGGGUUGUAAAGCACUUUCAGCGAGGAGGAAAGGUGGCUAGCUAAUACCUGGUUGCUGUGACGUUACUCGCAGAAGAAGCACCGGCUAACUCCGUGCCAGCCGCCGCGGUAAAAC